GCUUUCUGAACAUCUGGUGUAGCUACAGACAAGUCAACUUCCUUCAGAAAGC
rfam:Nomascus leucogenys chromosome 10, whole genome shotgun sequence.